AGUGGCCAUGCUAGCAGACUACUGGCCUGAAACUUACUAUGGGAGAUUUGAGGAACGCUGAGGAGCAUUCACAACAAUUUGCCGUACAGUCAACAGACUGGUGAAGCUCUGAAUGUGGACCCCUGAAUGAAGUAAGACUUGCAGCUGACUGUGCACACGAGUGAGCACACUCGUGACAGAUACGGAUACUAUGGAUACACACCUGCUAAGGACUGGACUGAGAUCCUCCAACUUUGUCAUAUCAACUGCGGAACAGAUGAGCCACACCACACUUCAAGCAACACAUUGCACAGUGAGAGAGCAGCGGAGGAGAGGCUGUGACCCCAGCGUCUUGAUAACCUCUGCGCACCUAGGAGAGGAACCGCGGCGGUGUGUUCAGCGUACCUCCGUACCAGGACUGCCAUUCCCCGCGAGUCGGGACCUUGUCAGGGGGUGACUGGGAAGGCAAACACUGCUUAUGUUCAUAGCAAGCGUAUGAAAUCCUUGGAGAGGGAGAGUACAAGAUGAGAAGGGUACAUUAAAAUCUGACUGUGCAGGCUUGCGGAGACCGGCUCCGACUGAUGCCUGUGAGCUGUCUGAAGCCCACCUGGGACUAAGCGUACUGCCUUCCUUGAACCCUCUUUCAAGACUCACCGUAAAACUCAUGACAAAUACUUACCGAAGCUUUGGAAUAACUUCAGCGCUCUCCUCUUCUUUUUCCCAGUGAAGAUACAGUACCAGUGCCCUCUGUUUAUAUUAAAGGAUAUUACCUCCUAGAAGAGAUAGAAAGGCAACGCUGAACUAACCAAAGCACCCUUUGGUGCCUUCUUCAGGAUUUGUGCUGCUAUCUCCAGGGUCCUGGGGAGGCUCCUGCCUGGGAGUGAAAUCACCUGGCCAGUAUUUGGCUCCCCGAUACCUGCUAAACACAAGCUCUCCCCACACCUAUGAAGCCCACUUUUCACAGCAAGGUCUGACCUGGACGGAGUGGCUAUUUCACUGGAAGGAAGGGGUAUUUGGACUAGGGGUGGGAAGCGGCCACGCUGCCAAGCGACAACCUCUGGAGCUGCCUGAGCGGCCAGAAACCCCCCUGCACAAGGCGAGACUGAUAAAACUCAACCCCUCAGU